AUUGAACGCUAGCGGGAUGCUUUACACAUGCAAGUCGAACGAGUGGCGGACGGGUGAGUAAUAUAUUGGAACGUGCCCAGUAGCGGGGGAUAACUACUCGAAAGCGUGGCUACUACCGCUUACUAUUGGAGCGGCCGAUAUCGGAUUAGCUAGUUGGUGGGGUAAAGGCUCACCAAGGCAACGAUCCGUAGCUGGUUUGAGAGGACGACCGGCCACACUGGGACUGAGACACGGCCCAGACUCCGACGGGAGGCAGCAGUGGGGAAUUUUGGACAAGGGGGGAAACCCUGAUCCAGCCAUCCCGCGUGUAUGAGAAGGCCUUCGGUUUGUAAAGUACUUUUGGCAGAGAAGCGGUAUCUGAAGAAUAAGCACCGGCUAACUACGUGCCAGCAGCCGCGGUAAUAC
rnacentral:rRNA from 1 species